GAUGAACGCUGGCGGCGUGCCUAAUACAUGCAAGUCGAGCGAACAGACGAGGAGCUUGCUCCUCUGACGUUAGCGGCGGACGGGUGAGUAACACGUGGAUAACCUACCUAUAAGACUGGGAUAACUUCGGGAAACCGGAGCUAAUACCGGAUAAUAUAUUGAACCGCAUGGUUCAAUAGUGAAAGACGGUUUUGCUGUCACUUAUAGAUGGAUCUGGGCCGCAUUAGCUAGUUGGUAAGGUAACGGCUUACCAAGGCAACGAUGCGUAGCCGACCUGAGAGGGUGAUCGGCCACACUGGAACUGAGACACGGUCCAGACUCCUACGGGAGGCAGCAGUAGGGAAUCUUCCGCAAUGGGCGAAAGCUUGACGGAGCAACGCCGCGUGAGUGAUGAAGGUCUUCGGAUCGUAAAACUCUGUUAUUAGGGAAGAACAAAUGUGUAAGUAACUAUGCACGUCUUGACGGUACCUAAUCAGAAAGCCACGGCUAACUACGUG
rnacentral:rRNA from 1 species